GACGAACGCUGGCGGCGUGCUUAACACAUGCAAGUCGAACGAAGUGGCGAACGGGUGAGUAACGCGUCAUCAACCUGCCCUUCAGAGGGGGACAACAGUUGGAACCGACUGCUCAUACCGCAUACUGAAGGAGGUGAUUGCGUCUGAUUAGCUAGUUGGGGGGGUAACGGCCCACCAAGGCGAUGGUCAGUAGCCGGGCUGAGGGGGUGGACGGCCAAAUUGGGACUUGGACACGGCCCAGACGCCUAAGGGAGGCAGGAGGGGGGAAUUUUCCGAAAUGGACGAAAGUCUGACGGAGCAACGGCGGGUGAGGGAUGACGGCCUUCGGGUUGUAAAGCUCUGUUAAGCGGGACGCGGUACCGGAAGAGAAAGCCACGGCUAACUACGUGCCAGCAGCCGCGGUAAUAC
rnacentral:rRNA from 1 species